rnacentral:rRNA from 1 species
UACGAACUGGUGCGAACGUUAUUUCGGAAUCAGCUAGGGCUUACAGGGUGCGGUAGGCGGCCUUCCAAGUCAGGUGUGAAAUCCCCCAGCUCAACCUGGGGAACAGCGCUUGAAACUGGUUGGCUUGAGUCAGCUAGAGGUGCACGGAACUUCCGGUGGAGCGGUGAAAUGUGUUGAUAUCGGAAGGAACACCAGAGGCGAAAGCGGUGCACUGGAGCUGGUCUGACGCUGAG